GGCGUUGUGGCGGAGUGGUUAACGCGGUUGACUCGAACGGUCUCCUUCGGGAGAGGUUCUGAUAUCAACUUCCUUUGGGAGCGCAUGUUCGAAUCAUGUCAACGUCG
rnacentral:tRNA from 1 species